rnacentral:tRNA from 1 species
GCCUGGCUGGCUCAGUCAGAAGAGCAUGUGACUCUUGAUCUUGAGGUUGUGAGUUCAAACCCCAUGUUGGGUC